CGCAGCCGCGGUAAUUCCAGCUCCAAUAGCGUAUAUUAAAGUUGUUGCAGUUAAAAAGCUCGUAGUUGAAUUUCGGGGUUAGCAGGUCGGUCGUGCCAUCGGUAUGAACUGGUCUCGCUGAUCCCUCCCUCUUGACGAACUGUGAUGCCAUUAAUUUGGUGUCGCAGGGAAUCAGGACUGUUACUUUGAAAAAUUAGAGUGUUAAAGCAGGCUCACGCUUGAAUACAUUAGCAUGGAAUAAUGAAAUAGGACGUUUGAUCCUAUUUUGUUGGCUUCUAGGAUUGACGUAAUGAUUAAUAGGGAUAGUUGGGGCAUUAGUAUUCAAUUGUCAGAGGU
rnacentral:rRNA from 1 species